AAUGAACGCUGGCGGCAGGCCUAACACAUGCAAGUCGAACGAGGUAGCAAUACCUAGUGGCGGACGGGUGAGUAACGCGUGGGAACGUGCCCCUUGGUACGGAAUAGCCCUGGGAAACUGGGAGUAAUACCGGAUGUGGUCGGGAGACGAAAGAUUUAUCGCCAAGGGAUCGGCCCGCGUUGGAUUAGGUAGUUGGUGGGGUAAUGGCCUACCAAGCCGACGAUCCAUGGCUGGUUUGAGAGGAUGAUCAGCCACACUGGGACUGAGACACGGCCCAGACUCCUACGGGAGGCAGCAGUGGGGAAUCUUAGACAAUGGGGGAAACCCUGAUCUAGCCAUGCCGCGUGAUCGAUGAAGGCCUUAGGGUUGUAAAGAUCUUUCAGUGGGGAAGAUAAUGACGGUACCCACAGAAGAAGCCCCGGCUAACUCCGUGCCAGCCGCCGCCGUAA
rnacentral:rRNA from 1 species